CUGCAACAAUGUGUGGGUUCGGCUUCGGUCGGACUAGGUGACCUGCACCGGUGUCUCGGACAGCGGUUCGAUUCCGCUCAGCUCCACUGUGUUGCCCGGUCCCGCCUCCGGUGGGACCUCUUCCCGGGGCUGCAAUGGUUUCGACGGGGCAUGAGGAGGGUGACUGAAACCUGCUCGGUCAGAGCAACUACGUAACAGCGAACAAGAUCGUUCGUUUCUCCCGUCAGGCUGCCCCUGUUGCCGCCUGAGCUUUCAGAGGGAGAUGGGGUGAGGUCAGCCUUAUCACCCAAAUGACCCAAGGGGGCUGGGAGGCCCC
rnacentral:tmRNA from 1 species